AAAUUGAAGAGUUUGAUCAUGGCUCAGAUUGAACGCUGGCGGCAGGCCUAACACAUGCAAGUCGAGCGGUAGCACAGAGAGCUUGCUCUCGGGUGACGAGCGGCGGACGGGUGAGUAAUGUCUGGGAAACUGCCUGAUGGAGGGGGAUAACUACUGGAAACGGUAGCUAAUACCGCAUAACGUCGCAAGACCAAAGUGGGGGACCUUCGGGCCUCAUGCCAUAAGAUGUGCCCAGAUGGGAUUAGCUAGUAGGUGGGGUAACGGCUCACCUAGGCGACGAUCCCUAGCUGGUCUGAGAGGAUGACCAGCCACACUGGAACUGAGACACGGUCCAGACUCCUACGGGAGGCAGCAGUGGGGAAUAUUGCACAAUGGGCGCAAGCCUGAUGCAGCCAUGCCGCGUGUGUGAAGAAGGCCUUCGGGUUGUAAAGCACUUUCAGCGGGGAGGAAGGCGGUGAGGUUAAUAACCUC
rnacentral:rRNA from 1 species